rnacentral:rRNA from 1 species
GACGAACGCUGGCGGCGUGCCUAAUACAUGCAAGUCGAACGAGAGCGACCGGUGCUUGCACUGGUCAAUCUAGUGGCGAACGGGUGAGUAACACGUGGGUAACCUGCCCAUCAGAGGGGGAUAACAUUCGGAAACGGAUGCUAAAACCGCAUAGGUCUUCGAACCGCAUGGUUUGAAGAGGAAAAGAGGCGCAAGCUUCUGCUGAUGGAGGGACCCGCGGUGCAUUAGCUAGUUGGUGAGGUAACGGCUCACCAAGGCCGUGAUGCAUAGCCGACCUGAGAGGGUGAUCGGCCACAUUGGGACUGAGACACGGCCCAAACUCCUACGGGAGGCAGCAGUAGGGAAUCUUCCGCAAUGGACGCAAGUCUGACGGAGCAACGCCGCGUGAGUGAAGAAGGUUUUCGGAUCGUAAAACUCUGUUGUUAGAGAAGAAUAAGUGCUAGAGUAACUGUUAGCGCCUUGACGGUAUCUAACCAGAAAGCCACGGCUAACUACGU